CGCCUCAUCCCCAGAACAACGAGCUGCUGCGCGAGAUCUUUGACCUGGGGCCCCCCUUGGUGCUGGACGCGGGCGCUCUCAAAGCCACUAAGAUCUCCCGCUUCGAGAAGCACCUGUACAACUCGGCUGCCUUCAAAGCCCGGACGAAAGCCAGGAGCGUCCGGUGAGGGCCGCUCCCGCCCCAGCCCACAGACCCGGACCACUGUGACGCGGGGGGAGCCGGGGGGCGUGCAGCCCUCCCUGCUCAGCGGCUCCGCCGGCCCCUCGCCCCAGCCCUGGGGCCUUUAUGCUGCACAGACUCGCAUUGAAACGGCCAGGCCGGUUGCCCCGGCCAGACCAGGCGCCAG